UGCCAAGGAUCAGGCCACUUAGCCAACCAAG
rnacentral:piRNA from 1 species